AUUGAACGCUGGCGGCAGGCCUAACACAUGCAAGUCGAGCGAGCGGCGGACGGGUGAGUAAUGUAUGGGGACUGCCCGAUAGAGGGGGGUAACUACUGGAAAAGGUAGCUAAUACCGCAUACUAUCGGAUAACCCAUAGGGGAUUAGCGAGUAGGUGAGGUAAUGGCUCACCUAGGCGACGAGCCCUAGCUGGUCUGCGAGGAUGCUCAGCCACACGGGGACUGAGACACGGCCCAGACUCCUACGGAGGCAGCAGUGGGGAAGAUUGGACAAUGGGCGCAAGCCUGAUGCAGCCAUGCCGCGUGUAUGAAGAAGGCCCUAGGGUUGUAAAGUACUUUCAGUCGGGAGGCGUUACCGGCAGAAGAAGCACCGGCUAACUCCGUGCCAGCAGCCGCGGUAAUUC
rnacentral:rRNA from 1 species